AUGUACCUCCAAUACCUCUUCCUCGCUGCCCUCCUGGGGAAAUGGCUGGAUGCCAUGGGCCAGACCACUGUGACUCAGAAAGAUGGUCCAGUCACAGUGGAGGAGAGAGGCACUUUCCAAACCACCUGCAGCUACCAGGCCUAUAACUUUAAUGGCUUGCUCUGGUACCAGCAGAGGAGAGGACAAGCCCCACAGCUGGUCUCCUAUCAGGUGGCAGCUGGUCGCAAGGAGAGUGGCCGAUUCACCACAUUGCUGAACACCACAGGGAAAUACAGCCUCCUGCGGCUGGAGGAAGCCAAGGUCUCUGACACUGCCUUGUACCUCUGUGCUGUGCAAGACACUCUACAGUACUUAAGCAUAGGUGAUCUUGUCCUGUGA